ensembl:lncRNA
CUCUUGGAGAGCGAGCGGGGCUGCGACCCUGAGAUCCAGCGCUGUCGUGCGUUCCCCAGGCCGCCGGGACCUUGCCACAGGCACUGGGGCGGCAGGUGAGCGAAGGCGGCUGCGCAGGAGAGCGAGUCUGCAGUGUGGGAGCUGGACACCUGCUCAUUUCCUUCUCUGCCCUGUGAGAUCAAGGGUGAAACUUGCUCAGAAGAGGAAUGAUUCAUAGUUGUUUGGCAGGAAACAGAGAGCUCAGGUAGAUAACUUGGAGGACCAGGAAGCUGAAGCAGCAACGAUGAGGGUGUCUGCGUCUGAAGCCAUGAUUUAACUGUUAAGGUGAGUCUUUGUGGCGGAAACACGCAUUUUGGAAAUAGCACACACAGGGCUGGCUUCUUUUCUGUGAACAGAUGGAGGCACACAGUGAAGGGUGG